GUAGGUGGCAAGCGUUGUCCGGAAUUAUUGGGCGUAAAGCGCGCGCAGGCGGUUCUUUAAGUCUGAUGUGAAGGCCCACGGCUCAACCGUGGAGGGUCAUUGGAAACUGGAGAACUUGAGUACAGAAGAGGAAAGCGGAAUUCCACGUGUAGCGGUGAAAUGCGUAGAGAUGUGGAGGAACACCAGUGGCGAAGGCGGCUUUCUGGUCUGUAACUGACGCUGAGGCGCGAAAGCGUGGGGAGCAAACAGGAUUAGAUACCCUGGUAGUCCACGCCGUAAACGAUGAGUGCUAAGUGUUAGGGGGGUUUUCCGCCCCCCUUAGUGCUGCAGCUAACGCAUUAAGCACUCCGCCUGGGAGUACGGCCGCAAGGCUG
rnacentral:rRNA from 1 species